UGUGGUCGGCUCCUCUCAAAUGAAUCAGCUUGCCAGUGUUUGGUGGCAUCACGGGUGUGAUAACUAUCUACGCUUGUGGUUUUCCACCAGGUAACCUUCAGCAAUGGAGGUUCGCUGGGGCUCACAAACGUCCCACCUCGGUGAGGACAGCUUCUUGAAUGUUUGAUCUCAAAUCAGGUAGGGCUACCCGCUGAACUUAA
rnacentral:misc_RNA from 1 species